rnacentral:rRNA from 1 species
UUAAGCGACUAAGCGUACACGGUGGAUGCCCUGGCAGUCAGAGGCGAUGAAGGACGUGCUAAUCUGCGAUAAGCGUCGGUAAGGUGAUAUGAACCGUUAUAACCGGCGAUUUCCGAAUGGGGAAACCCAGUGUGUUUCGACACACUAUCAUUAACUGAAUCCAUAGGUUAAUGAGGCGAACCGGGGGAACUGAAACAUCUAAGUACCCCGAGGAAAAGAAAUCAACCGAGAUUCCCCCAGUAGCGGCGAGCGAACGGGGAGCAGCCCAGAGCCUGAAUCAGUGUGUGUGUUAGUGGAAGCGUCUGGAAAGGCGCGCGAUACAGGGUGACAGCCCCGUACACAAAAAUGCACAUGCUGUGAGCUCGAUGAGUAGGGCGGGACACGUGGUAUCCUGUCUGAAUAUGGGGGGACCAUCCUCCAAGGCUAAAUACUCCUGACUGACCGAUAGUGAACCAGUACCGUGAGGGAAAGGCGAAAAGAACCCCGGCGAGGGGAGUGAAAAAGAACCUGAAACCGUGUACGUACAAGCAGUGGGAGCACGCUUAGGCGUGUGACUGCGUACCUUUUGUAUAAUGGGUCAGCGACUUAUAUUCUGUAGCAAGGUUAACCGAAUAGGGGAGCCGAAGGGAAACCGAGUCUUAACUGGGCGUUAGGUUGCAGGGUAUAGACCCGAAACCCGGUGAUCUAGCCAUGGGCAGGUUGAAGGUUGGGUAACACUAACUGGAGGACCGAACCGACUAAUGUUGAAAAAUUAGCGGAUGACUUGUGGCUGGGGGUGAAAGGCCAAUCAAACCCGGGAGAUAGCUGGUUCUCCCCGAAAGCUAUUUAGGUAGCGCCUCGUGAAUUCAUCUCCGGGGGUAGAGCACUGUUUCGGCAAGGGGGUCAUCCCGACUUACCAACCCGAUGCAAACUGCGAAUACCGGAGAAUGUUAUCACGGGAGACACACGGCGGGUGCUAACGUCCGUCGUGAAGAGGGAAACAACCCAGACCGCCAGCUAAGGUCCCAAAGUCAUGGUUAAGUGGGAAACGAUGUGGGAAGGCCCAGACAGCCAGGAUGUUGGCUUAGAAGCAGCCAUCAUUUAAAGAAAGCGUAAUAGCUCACUGGUCGAGUCGGCCUGCGCGGAAGAUGUAACGGGGCUAAACCAUGCACCGAAGCUGCGGCAGCGACACUAUGUGUUGUUGGGUAGGGGAGCGUUCUGUAAGCCUGUGAAGGUGUGCUGUGAGGCAUGCUGGAGGUAUCAGAAGUGCGAAUGCUGACAUAAGUAACGAUAAAGCGGGUGAAAAGCCCGCUCGCCGGAAGACCAAGGGUUCCUGUCCAACGUUAAUCGGGGCAGGGUGAGUCGACCCCUAAGGCGAGGCCGAAAGGCGUAGUCGAUGGGAAACAGGUUAAUAUUCCUGUACUUGGUGUUACUGCGAAGGGGGGACGGAGAAGGCUAUGUUGGCCGGGCGACGGUUGUCCCGGUUUAAGCGUGUAGGCUGGUUUUCCAGGCAAAUCCGGAAAAUCAAGGCUGAGGCGUGAUGACGAGGCACUACGGUGCUGAAGCAACAAAUGCCCUGCUUCCAGGAAAAGCCUCUAAGCAUCAGGUAACAUCAAAUCGUACCCCAAACCGACACAGGUGGUCAGGUAGAGAAUACCAAGGCGCUUGAGAGAACUCGGGUGAAGGAACUAGGCAAAAUGGUGCCGUAACUUCGGGAGAAGGCACGCUGAUAUGUAGGUGAGGUCCCUCGCGGAUGGAGCUGAAAUCAGUCGAAGAUACCAGCUGGCUGCAACUGUUUAUUAAAAACACAGCACUGUGCAAACACGAAAGUGGACGUAUACGGUGUGACGCCUGCCCGGUGCCGGAAGGUUAAUUGAUGGGGUCAGCGCAAGCGAAGCUCUUGAUCGAAGCCCCGGUAAACGGCGGCCGUAACUAUAACGGUCCUAAGGUAGCGAAAUUCCUUGUCGGGUAAGUUCCGACCUGCACGAAUGGCGUAAUGAUGGCCAGGCUGUCUCCACCCGAGACUCAGUGAAAUUGAACUCGCUGUGAAGAUGCAGUGUACCCGCGGCAAGACGGAAAGACCCCGUGAACCUUUACUAUAGCUUGACACUGAACAUUGAGCCUUGAUGUGUAGGAUAGGUGGGAGGCUUUGAAGUGUGGACGCCAGUCUGCAUGGAGCCGACCUUGAAAUACCACCCUUUAAUGUUUGAUGUUCUAACGUGGACCCGUGAUCCGGGUUGCGGACAGUGUCUGGUGGGUAGUUUGACUGGGGCGGUCUCCUCCUAAAGAGUAACGGAGGAGCACGAAGGUUGGCUAAUCCUGGUCGGACAUCAGGAGGUUAGUGCAAUGGCAUAAGCCAGCUUGACUGCGAGCGUGACGGCGCGAGCAGGUGCGAAAGCAGGUCAUAGUGAUCCGGUGGUUCUGAAUGGAAGGGCCAUCGCUCAACGGAUAAAAGGUACUCCGGGGAUAACAGGCUGAUACCGCCCAAGAGUUCAUAUCGACGGCGGUGUUUGGCACCUCGAUGUCGGCUCAUCACAUCCUGGGGCUGAAGUAGGUCCCAAGGGUAUGGCUGUUCGCCAUUUAAAGUGGUACGCGAGCUGGGUUUAGAACGUCGUGAGACAGUUCGGUCCCUAUCUGCCGUGGGCGCUGGAGAACUGAGGGGGGCUGCUCCUAGUACGAGAGGACCGGAGUGGACGCAUCACUGGUGUUCGGGUUGUCAUGCCAAUGGCACUGCCCGGUAGCUAAAUGCGGAAGAGAUAAGUGCUGAAAGCAUCUAAGCACGAAACUUGCCCCGAGAUGAGUUCUCCCUGACUCCUUGAGAGUCCUGAAGGAACGUUGAAGACGACGACGUUGAUAGGCCGGGUGUGUAAGCGCAGCGAUGCGUUGAGCUAACCGGUACUAAUGAACCGUGAGGCUUAACCUU